rnacentral:snRNA from 1 species
GGGUAAUCUGGCUGUGACACUUGUCACCCCAUUGAUCCCCAGGGUUGAUUCGGCUGAUCUGGCUGGCUAGGCGGGCGUCCCCUUCCUCCCUCACCACUCCAUGUGCAGUGGAAGAGGAUGAUCAUCCCAGAUAAAAGGAGUGUACCGUUCUUUGGUCAAGGCUAUAUGAUUAAGCUUAGAAAGAAUGAGAAGAUGAUGGUCACAAAAUGAGCUUUGCAAAUGAACUCAGAUUCUGCCUGGGUCUUCUUU